GCCGGCAUAGCUCAGUUGGUAGAGCAGCUGAUUUGUAAUCAGCAGGUCCCGGGUUCGAUUCCUGGUGCCGGCACCA
rnacentral:tRNA from 4 species